UACGUAGGGGGCAAGCGUUGUCCGGAUUUAUUGGGCGUAAAGAGCGUGUAGGCGGCUUGGUAGGUCCGCUGUGAAAACUCGAGGCUCAACCUCGAGACGCCGGUGGAAACCAUCAGGCUAGAGUCCGGAAGAGGAGAGUGGAAUUCCUGGUGUAGCGGUGAAAUGCGCAGAUAUCAGGAAGAACACCCGUGGCUAAGGCGGCUCUCUAGUACGGUACUGACGCUGAGACGCGAAAGCGUGGGGAGCGAACAG
rnacentral:rRNA from 1 species